CUUGGUUCUGUUCAGCUAGGAGGCAGAAGGGAGGGAUGAUGUGGAGGGGAGGAGGGACCCAGGGGCUGAAAAUCACUUGUCAUGUGCGUAUAAAAGUGUGCCUUUCGUUUCAGAGCAUGCUCACUGAGGCACGCUCAGCUUUCACCAAAUCCAGCCCCCAAAUUUGAACUGGAGGGAGGGGAAGUUACGGCACUGACUCUGGUGUUGUAUUCCUCUGUGUCUGUUUGCUUUGGCUCCCACCCUGCAUGGUUCCCUCUGCACCUAUGGCUCUACGUUUGAAAAGGUGAAGGUGGAUUACACUGGAAAAGAUGGACGGCAUUGACAGGAAGCCAUGGUUAUAUUGAAAUAUGCACCAAUAAAAUUUGUGGCACAAAGCACGAAGUCAUCAUUCAAAUGCUGCAAGAGAACGGUGAUCGGCUUCAUACUCAUCCUCAUCCUCGCACCAGGAUAAUAUGUGAAUCUAACAGCCUCCAUGUCAGACACGGACUUCAGUUCACAGAGUUUAGGCUCUGUGAGUUCAAGAAAACACUUCAACAAUGCCGUAGCAAAUGGCUGUUACAUUAUCAGACCCCAAGGAGGCUUUUCUGCGUAAACCUGCUGACCCCGCGCAGGCACGACAUGCCCAUCUGACUGAAAAAAACCCCCGGAGGGCCUGGAUGUGGAGGCCCAAAUCUCGCUUUCUCUCACCUUCCUAAAACACUUCCAGUUGCUGGCUCUCCUCUCUCUGCCGUGGCUCUGACAUCGGUGUUGAAUCUCCUGACUUUGUCUUGAUUGUAUUAAAUCUGCAAAACACAAAUUAAAAUCAAUGUAAAAGAAAUACUUCAGCUUUCUGUGGCUUCUUUGUUUUCUCAGCUUACAAGGAUGAGUAAAGGCAGGUUAACGGGGACAGUGGGCCGAAAGCCAUGGGGGAAGGGCUUUUUUCAUGCAGGCUAUAGCAAUACUAUCCAUUUCAAAUUUCCUGCUUCAUAAUCAUCAUCUCCUUUGAGGGUAUUUAAAGAAGCAUUGUAAUACAGAACAUGUUUGGAUUUGAGAACAUGUGUCAAGACAAAUAUUUUAGAUGGUUAGAAGCAUUAUUCAACAAAAGUUGCAACCAAUUUCAACCAAGUUUAAGAUUUGAAUAAGUUUAUUUUAUUUAUUUAUUUUAAUUUUAUUAAUGAUUAACUAAAUGAAACAUUUUUACAAUAAUUUAUUUGACUAUAUGCAGAAAGAAUAUGUAAGAAUUUGCAAUUACAAAAGAAAAUUGCCAAUUUACAAUAGUUAUCAAUAGCUUAUUUUCUAAAUGUAAUCAUGCUGAUAGACCACAUCCACAGUGGCUUUAAAAUGCAUUCAGACAUUUAAAAACUGAUGAAUGUCUUUCUGUUUUGCAAAACAUUUCACAAAAAGUUUGUUAGGUUGCUUGGACUCUUUCAUCCCUCAAUGUUCAGUAUACCUAAGCAAUUAUGAUUUUUAAGACAGCAUAUUUAUUUAAGCGAUAAUGAGGAUAAUGGGCUGUUUUGCGUUUGUGCUGACUCAAGUUUUCAAUCUUUGUUUUAGUUUAAUGUGUUCUGUUUGUUUGUGGUCAAUUCCAGGGCACUUUUGUUUUCUUUCAGCAGGGGUAAUAAACCCAUAAUGCUGUCGGCCA
ensembl:lncRNA